rnacentral:lncRNA from 1 species
AUCUGUGUGUGCCUCUUCCGAUCUGACAGGUGCAGGGCAACAUGUGGCUAGUACCCCCAGGAACAGCACCGGCUCCGCACAGCGUUUAAGAGUGUUGUCACGAACCCUACAAUAAACGACGGGCCUAUGGCAAGUCAAGCUGAAGGCACCGCUGCUGCAGAAUCCCACAGAGGAGGCAUGUGAACAAGGCUCCUUUCAGAUUCUCCCAUCACCAAAUAAACUGAUUAUCUCUAUCUCAACUCCAAAGACUGAAACUUAAGGACAAGGAAAUCCACGUAAGUGUGCCCUCGGACUGUAUAAUUUAUUAAAACACAUUUUCUGCCCUCUCUACACCCGGCUAGAG